rnacentral:rRNA from 1 species
UCCUACGGGACGCAGCAGUCGAGAAUUUUUCACAAUGGGCGCAAGCCUGAUGGAGCGACGCCGCGUGGGGGAUGAAUGGCUUCGGCCCGUAAACCCCUGUCAUUUGCGAUCAACCCUCAUUAUUUAAAAGAUGAUGAGCUGAUGGUAGCGAAAGAGGAAGGGACGGCUAACUCUGUGCCAGCAGCCGCGGUAAUACAGAGGUCCCGAGCGUUGUUCGGAUUCACUGGGCGUAAAGGGUGCGUAGGUGGUGGGGUAAGUCGGAUGUGAAAUCUCGGAGCUCAACUCCGAAAUGGCAUUGGAAACUGCCCUGCUGGAGGGUCGGAGGGGGGACUGGAAUUCUCGGUGUAGCAGUGAAAUGCGUAGAUAUCGAGAGGAACACCAGUGGCGAAGGCGAGUCCCUGGACGACACCUGACACUGAGGCACGAAAGCUAGGGGAGCAAACAGGAUUAGAUACCCCGGUAGC